GACAUUAAUGGCUCCUUAAGUUAAUCUAGCACUGUUGAUUACAAAAAGCAGUAUUUCUGCGGAUUCCAUAGAUCAGAUGCUUCGCAAUAUCCAUUUUAAGAUUGCGGAUACUGUUCACCCCCUUUAAUGUUAAAUAAGGCACAGAAGGAAUGAUCCUCUCAUAACCCUUCUUUACCAACUUCACUGGCUUCUAAGAUGGCACUUUUGAAAGCUUCCAGCAGAGAUGUGCUUAUAAUUGGCCAAUCCUUCAAUUAUAUUUCCAGUAUUCGG